GUCGUCGACCUGAACUGGGCCGGUGCCUUUGCAGGGCGGUGGUGGGGUGGCUCGGCGUCUCCCCGGGAGCGCUUCCUGUUCCUGCCUCGGGAGACUCGCCGCCUCCCUGGCUUGCUUUCAGGAGGGCAGCGAAGCCCCGGGAUGAAAGACCUCAGAGAGCCUGAGAGGAGCAGGUCUGCCCGGUGGCAGGUGAAGGAGUCCCCUCUUCGGGGCUAAACACGCCCGCACAGCAAGAGUCAAUCCAGCAACAAAACAACAACAACUCGCAGAAGCCUAGCCUGGGAGAAGGGAGAGCGGGUCACCCUGUCUCUUUUGCAUUGUGCUCCUCUUCUAGUUGAAGGGAUUGGGAAUCGGUUUCUCUCUUUUAUUUCUUCGAAUACAAGAGGAAAGCAUUGGAAAAGCAGUUUACAAUAUUCCACUAAGGAUUAUUCAAGAGAAGCAUAAUCUUUCACUUCUUGAACUCCUCCCAACCACACAUCUGAAGGACCAAAUGAAUUGGUGCACAAGUCUUGAUACUCGCAAUCUGUAGCUCCUUAUGCCUAUUUUAACCAGAGAUUAGAUCAGGAAUGUAAGAGCAAAUUUCCUGCAUUGGCUAGUGGCUGGACUGAAUUGCUUUUGCAAUCCCUUUCACCUCUAUGAUUCUAUUACUAUUGAUUAUAUUUCUACCAAUCAUUGCUGCAAGAAACUCAGAUUGGUAUACAUGAUUCUAUGGCCCCACCAUGCUGCAAUCCUGUGUGGCACGUUAGGCUGAGAGAAAAGACCUUCAUGGCUGAGUGUAGAUGUGAACUGUGAUCGUUCCAAUUUUUGGUAUGGGCAUGAAGAGUUUACGCUUAGUCAUUACAAUUCAUGGCAUAUAUAGCGGUAGUCAUUGCCAUUUAUGGCAUCUGGUAAAAGCAAUUAUCUGUUAAAAUGCCAUUGUGGUAUAAGUGUUCCAUAAACCCAUGUGUUUCAUAAGCACCUGCAAUCUUAUCACAAACUCUUCUUUGCCAAUAUUCUGUUUAUCUAAGAUGUUGGACACAUUAGGACAAUUGUCACGUUAGAUAUAAAAGUUUAAAAGACAAAACAAGCAGUGUAGGAGCCAUGUAAGAAGAGAUUGCAUUGGCCUUAACUGCAGGAAACUCUUCAGAGAAAAAAAAGACAGCAGAUAUUUUAGCUGUGAAAAUUCUUUGUAUUGUUUUUCAUCAAAUAAAAUUAUCAAUGCAAAAUGCA